CAUGCAGUCGGACGGUAGCACAGAGGAGCUUGCUCCUCGGGUGACGAGUGGCGGACGGGUGAGUAAUGUCUGGGGAUCUGCCCGAUAGAGGGGGAUAACCACUGGAAACGGUGGCUAAUACCGCAUAACGUCGCAAGACCAAAGAGGGGGACCUUCGGGCCUCUCACUAUCGGAUGAACCCAGAUGGGAUUAGCUAGUAGGCGGGGUAACGGCCCACCUAGGCGACGAUCCCUAGCUGGUCUGAGAGGAUGACCAGCCACACUGGAACUGAGACACGGUCCAGACUCCUACGGGAGGCAGCAGUGGGGAAUAUUGCACAAUGGGCGCAAGCCUGAUGCAGCCAUGCCGCGUGUAUGAAGAAGGCCUUCGGGUUGUAAAGUACUUUCAGCGGGGAGGAAGGCGAUGUGGUUAAUAACCGCAUUGAUUGACGUUACCCGCAGAAGAAGCACCGGCUAACUCCGUGCCAGCAGCCGCGGUAAUACGGAGGGUGCAAGCGUUAAUCGGAAUUACUGGGCGUAAAGCGCACGCAGGCGGUCUGUUAAGUCAGAUGUGAAAUCCCCGGGCUUAACCUGGGAACUGCAUUUGAAACUGGCAGGCUUGAGUCUCGUAGAGGGGGGUAGAAUUCCAGGUGUAGCGGUGAAAUGCGUAGAGAUCUGGAGGAAUACCGGUGGCGAAGGCGGCCCCCUGGACGAAGACUGACGCUCAUGUGCGAAAGCGUGGGGAGCAAACAGGAUUA
rnacentral:rRNA from 1 species